rnacentral:tRNA from 1 species
GGCUCGGUAGCUUAGUCGGAAAAGCACUUGUCUAGCGAAUAAGGGUCGUGAGUUCAAAUCUCACCUGAGCUG